CGAAAGCGCCCGAAUCGCGGCCGAGUAACCCGAGUUGCCAACUUGCCAUUAGGGAUUUGCAGAGGCGUCGGCGCGUCGCGGACGAGCGGUGGAGGCGACGAGGCGUGGUCCCCCUGGAGCUAGGGUUUCUCCGGUCGUCGUCGUCGUCGUCGACUGGUCGUCGUCGUCGUCGACCGUCCAAGCUCGGCGAAGUGGCGAAGAGGAGUCCCGACCACCCUAUCAUCGGCGAAGCUAGGUUUUGAGGUACGAUUACAUUUACGAAUGAAUCUUCUUCGUUUUGGUUGGGAUCUUCUUCGUUUUGGUUGGGAUCUUCUUCCUUUUGGUUGGGAUUUGCCGAGGCGCAGAGCGGACGAGCGGCGGAGGCAUGGAGCUAGGGUUUCUCCGCUUCUUGUCGGCUCGUCGCCGCUCGCUGGGUUGAUUACACUUCGGCCGGUCGCCCGACGCGGGCCAGUCUGCCGAAUGCCUUAAUCCACCCACAGGCCACAGAGUGCCACAAAACCAGCAGCAGUUCCAAGCCCUGAUCCUCCCUUUUUCCAGUACAGUGUUGAUGUGUUGAGAAAUGAGAAGAUGUGGGUGUCAUUUUUGGACUGUCGAACACUUGGAACUUGGAAGGGGACUGAACUUGGUUUUUUGUUAGACUGAACUUUCCAGGUUUUCUCCUUCUUGUUCUUCUGUCACUCGUACAAAACUUUUGGUAUUCUCUCUCAGAAAAAAAAAAGCUAAACAUUUGGAUAUGUCUGAAGGAGAUGUAAUGAACACUUGAUGCAGUUUAUUGAAAGAAGAACUCACUGCUGUUGCUUUUUUAUUUAAAAAUCUACUGGAUAUGCUAUUGCAAUUGCUAAAUUGAUUGAGUUUAUUGGCAGAUGGGUGCACUUUUCAUGUAGAAUAUUCAAAAUCUACUCUAUGAAGAACAGGGGUGUUUUUUUAUUGCGACUCAAAAUUUCCUUGCAUUGUCAAAAUAUUAUCUUUAUUAGUUUUGGUAUUCCUAUUGCUGUUUAGGGUUAUUCUUAUGGAUGUUUAGUUUUGGUAUUCCUAUUGCUGUUUAUUAGUUUUGGUAUUCCUUGCAUUGUCAAAGUAUUAUCUUCAAUAUUGGCUGCACAAAUGCACUUAUGGAUGUUUUACAUUUGAGUUGUGACUGCAUUAUGCUUUUCUUUACUUUAUCAGUUUAUCAUGCUUAUUGCCUAUUUGCCUGUAUUGAGUGCAUCCCUUGAGUACCUUUUUAAAAGGAAGCUUGGCUUCCUCUACAUUUUGCAGUAUAGGAACAUAGUUGGAUGAUUGAAGAUUUUUAUUUUUUUAUUUGGACAGAUUAUUUUUACUAAUGUCUCAUUCUAAAGUGGGUGAAAAUGAGACUGUUGAAGAUUUAAGGAAUGAGGAUGAUAGAAAUGAAGAUACUGCUGAAAAUGUUUGUGACAAUUCUUCUAGAAAAAGAUCUUGGGUAUGAAAUCACUUUAUCGAGGAAAAAAAUUCUGAAGGGUCAAUAGCUAAGUGCAAAUAUUGUAAAAAAGUUUUAAGUGGGAGCACUAAAGGAGGAACGAGUCAUCUAAAACGCCAUCUUGAAAAUGUUUGCAAGAAGUAUCAAAAGAAUCCGACUAAUCAGUUGCUCUUACUACCAAGUUCAAAAGAUCUGAUAAAGUGUUUCAAAUUCAAUCAAGAAGAGAGUAGAAAAAUUCUUGCAAAAUUUAUCAUAUGUGCUGAGCUUCCAUUUCGUAUUGUUGAGCACACUAUUUUUCUGAAUUUUAUGAGAUCUCUUCAGCCAUUAUUCAAAAUUAUGGGUUGUAAGCCUGUAAAACAUGAUUGUAUGGCUUUGUAUCAAGAAGAGAGGAAAAAAUUGCAUGAUGUAUUCAAGAACCUAAGUUCUCGGGUUAGUUUCACUACUGAUAUUUGGACAUCAAAUCAGAAAAUUGGUUACAUUUCUUUCACAGCACAUUAUAUUGAUUCUGAUUUUACUCUGCAUAAGAAGAUUAUUAGUUUCAAGAAACUUCCAUACCCUCACACCAGCUUUGCAAUUGAAGAUGCUGUAAAAAAAUAUCUUAUUGAAUGAAAAUUGGAUUGUAAAAUAUGUGCUAUUACUUUGGAUAAUUGCAGCACAAAUGAUGCUGUAAUGAGAAGGCUCCGAGAUCACUUUUGUUAUUCAAUGUUGUUUAGUGGGGAGUACAGUCAUAUUAGAUGUUGUGCACAUAUAUUAAAUAUUAUGGUUCAGGAUGGAAUGAAAAUCAUUCAUGAAGCUAUUGAAUGUAUAAGAGAAAUUGUUAGAUAUGUCUCUGCAUCCCCAUCUCGAAUGCAAGCAUUUAAUGAAAUUCUACAGCAUAUGAGACUUCCUGCUAGAAAAGGACUCACUUUGGAUGUUCCUACAAGAUGAAAUUCUACUUAUGAAAUGUUGCAUGAUGCACUUGGUUAUAAAGAUGCUCUUAUUAGAUAUGCAACUGAGCAUUCAUGUGUAUGCCCCACCAAUGAUGAAUGGAAAAAGGCUUCUAUAAUUCUUAAAUUUUUAGAAGCCUUUCUUGAUGCUACUAAAGUAUUUUCUGGUUGUAAGUAUCCCACAUCCAAUUUAUACCUAAAAGAAGUUUAGAGAAUUAGGGCUUUGUUGAUGGAUGAAAGUAUCGAUACUGAUGAAACAGUGAAGCAAUUAACAAAUGAGAUGCUAAAGAAGUUUAACAAAUAUUGGUCUCAGUGCAAUAAUUUGUUGGUAAUUGCUUCUAUUUUGGAUCCCAGAUCAAAGUUGAUAUUUGUAGAGUUUUGUUAUCAAAAGGCAUUUGAGUUGGAGGAGUGCAAAAAAAAGAUUGAUGAUAUCCGUGCUUGUCUUUUUAAAUUGUAUAAUGAGUAUGUAGAUGCAACAAGAAUGCAUCCCUUUAUGAGUUCAAGUGAGCGAACAUCUAAUUUUGGUGGACAAGGUGAUAUAAGUUCAAUUUCUUCCAAAAAAAAUUUGGUAUGGAUUUUGCUCAAUUUAGAAGUCAGAGUUCUUCAAAACGCCCUAAGAGAUCCGAGUUGGAUAGUUAUUUGGAUGAUGAUGUACUUCCUGAUUUGGAGAAUAAGGAGUUUGACAUCUUGGCUUGGUGAAAGAGCAAUGCAGCAGUCUAUCCUAUACUAUCAAGAAUAGCUCGAGAUGUUCUAGCUAUUCCAGUCUCCACUGUUUCAUCUGAGUCAGCAUUCAGCACUGGUGGUAGAGUUGUGGAUCAGUAUCGAAGCUCUUUGAGCCCUUCUACUGCAGAAGCCUUAGUGUGUACCCAAGAUUGGCUUCGUGAACAAUAUGAUGAAGUUGCAAAUUGCUCGAGUUCUGUAACGUUGAAUGUAGAUGACGACACCCUGGACUCCUGGAGUGGGCAAUUUGGGAGAACUGAAUGACGAUACCCUCAUCAGAUCUAGUUCAUACCUAAAGUAUCAAGUAUCAAGUAUGUUUGUUGAUGGAGUAUUUUCAUGUGGAUCAUGGUUAUUUCUCUAUUACAUGGAUAUGAUGAAUAUAAUAUUGUGCAGGGAACAACGACUUCAGGCCGAUGAUUUUUUUUAUCCUCCUGUUUUUGAUGGAAUCCUUUUGUUUGGUUUCAGUUGUAUCGUUGCAGUUGGUUGCAUGGAAUGAAUUUUUUUGCAAGUUAUCUUCAAACCAUCAGAUGCUAUUUUGUUAAUGAUAUGUCUGAUUGCCUACUUGGUCUAUCUCAUAUUUGAUGGAAUCCUACUUGGAUCUAACACAAUUCCAAUGACUUUUGUGGUCGUAAAUUUCUUUUGCAGAUAAUUUUUGUUGAUUUGUUCUAUUUUUGUCACUUGCCAAAAAAAAAGAGAAUUUUAUACUGAUGGUUUUGGGAUGUUCAUAAAUCAGGCUUGUUUCAUAGUCUUGACUGAAAUGAGAGACAAAAUGGAAAAUAAACUUUCUUUUGUUGUCCAAGCUCUUUUCUUUUUUCUUUUUAUUGCAGAUGGCUGCAUUUGUGUGCCUGUCCCUUGAUGUAGGACUUGUUCCCCUUCUAUCAUUAGUGAUGUACAGGUCUAUCUAUGGCACCGGGGUGCUGGAGAUCUCAUACAGGCAUUACCUGGGCAUGCUGGUGCUAUCAACUGUGUCAGCUGGCACCCAAUUUAUCAUCAUAUGUUGGCAUCAGCCAGUGAUGACCAUACAGUACGUGUAUGGGGGUUAAACAGGAUUAACCUGAAGCGGAAAGAAGCUGGUUAUAGCAAUGGAAUGGUCCACCAUUGCAAUGGAAAUAGUAAAUGAAGAUGCAAAUUUGGAGCAUUGAGGCAUUUAGUUUCUUUGACCAUUCCUUCAUUAAUUGUACAUUCUUUUACUUGUUCUUUUGUUGGCGUACACAGCAGACAGCCUCCAAAAAUAUGAGG